UACGUAGGGGGCAAGCGUUGUCCGGAUUUAUUGGGCGUAAAGAGCGUGUAGGCGGCCUUACAGGUCAGCUGUGAAAACUCGAGGCUCAACCUCGAGACGUCGGUUGAAACCGUAUGGCUAGAGUCCGGAAGAGGAGAGUGGAAUUCCCGGUGUAGCGGUCAAAUGCGCAGAUAUCGGGAAGAACACCCGUGGCGAAGGCGGCUCUCUGGGACGGUACUGACGCUGAGACGCGAAAGCGUGGGGAGCAAACAGG
rnacentral:rRNA from 1 species